rnacentral:tRNA from 1 species
GCAGAGGUGGCGGAGUGGUCUAACGCGCCUGGCUUGAGACCAGGUUUCCCUUGGGAAGCGCGAGUUCGAAUCUCGUCCUCUGCG